GCCUGGCUGGCUCAUUGGGUAGAGCAUAUGACUCUUGAUCUUGGGGUCAUGAAUUCGAGUCUCACGCUGGGGG
rnacentral:tRNA from 1 species